UUCUAACCAUAAACGAUGCCAGCCAGCGAUCCGGCUGUGUUCCUCAAAUGACACGCCGGGCAGCUUCCGGGAAACCAAAGCUUUUGGGUUCCGGGGGGAGUAUGGUUGCAAAGCUUAAACUUAAAGGAAUUGACGGAAGCGAACACAAGGAAUGGGGCCUGCGGCUCAAUUUGACUCAACACGGCGAAUCUGACCCGGCCCGGACACAGGAAGGAUUGACAGAUUAAGAGCUCUUUCUUGAUUCUGUGAUAGGUGGCGCAUGGCCGUUUCUGGUUGGUGGAGUGAUUUGUCUGCUUGAUUGCGUUAACGAGCGAGACUCUAGCCUACUAAAUAGACGUUCCGAUCCUUGUGAGUCGGACGUUCUUCUUAGAGGGACAAGCGGUGUUUAGCCGUACGAAACAGAGCAAAAACAGGUCAGGAUGCCCUUAGAUGUUCGGGGCCGCACGCGCGCCACAUUGAAGGAAUCAGCGUGUGCUUUCCCUGUCUGGCAGGACUGGGUAACCCGUUGAACCUCUUUCGUGCUGGGGAUAGGGGCUUGCAACUGUUCCCCUUGAACGAGGAAUUCCCAGUAAGCAUGAGUCACCAGCUCGUGUUGAUUACGUCCCUGCGCUUUGUACUCACCGCCCGUCGCUAUUAUCGAUGAAUUUUGGAGUGAGAUCUUCGGACUGGUUCCCG
rnacentral:rRNA from 1 species